GGGGAUGUAGCUCUGAUGGUAGAGCGCUCGCUUAGCAUGUUAGAGGUAUGGGGAUUGAUAUCCCGCAUCUCCA
rnacentral:tRNA from 1 species